rnacentral:lncRNA from 1 species
UUAUCUGUUUUCAUGGAACACUUGCUUGAACCCUGCUAAAGACACACAAUCAUACUGAUGGACAACUGUAGUGUUUGAAAUGAGAGGUAUCCUCCAUAGGCUAUGUAUUUGAACACUUGUUUCCCAGUUGGUUAUGUUUAGAGAGGCUAUGAAUCUGUUAGGAGGUGUGACUCUGUUAAAGGAUGCCACACAGGGUGGUCAAUGAGAAUUUAGAGCCUUACCAAACUUCCAGUUCACUCUUCUGCUUCCCACAUGUGAAUGGAGAGUGACAUCUCAGCUUGCUGUUCUGGACACCUGCUGCCAUGCCUCCUGUAACUGGUUGAUCUGAUGCUGUUUGUAAUCCUCAAGGUACACAGAGUCACAUCCAGCUUUUCUGGGACCCAAACUCAAGACCUCAUAAUGAGCAUCACAGAAGGCCCAUUCAGCCCAAGCUAUACAGUGGACUCCUUUAAAAAGCCAACCAACAAUAAUAAAUAGUGCUUGCCUUCCACUCUGUACA